rnacentral:rRNA from 1 species
CCUACGGGGGGCAGCAGUGGGGAAUAUUGGGCAAUGGGCGCAAGCCUGACCCAGCAACGCCGCGUGAAGGAAGAAGGCUUUCGGGUUGUAAACUUCUUUUCUCAGGGACGAAGCAAGUGACGGUACCUGAGGAAUAAGCCACGGCUAACUACGUGCCAGCCGCCGCGGUAAUACGUAGGUGGCAAGCGUUAUCCGGAUUUACUGGGAGUAAAGGGCGUGUAGGCGGGACUUCAAGUAAGAUGUGAAAACCACGGGCUCAACCUGUGACCUGCAUUUGAAACUGUAGUUCUUGAGUACUGGAGAGGCAGACGGAAUUCCUGGUGUAGCGGUGAAAUGCGUAGAUAUUAGGAGGAACACCAGUGGCGAAGGCGGUCUGCUGGACAGCAACUGACGCUGAGGUGCGAAAGCGUGGGGAGCAAACAGGAUUAGAUACCCUUGUAGUC